GGGAGUGGCGGGCGGGCGGGCGGUGCACCUGCGAGCGGCGAGACGAGCAGGGCGAGCGCCGAGGAGCCGACCGGAGGCGCGCAGCGAGCCGGCGGCCGCGCAGCCCGGCCCGGCGUGUCCAGGCGCCGCGGCCGCGAGGCGAUGGAGCAAGAGAAGUACCUGCCCGAGCUGAUGGCCGAGAAGGACAGCCUGGAUCCCUCCUUUGUUCACGCGAUGCGCCUCCUGGCAGACGAAAUUGAAAAAUUUCAGGGUUCUGAAGGCAAGAAGGAAGAUGAAGAAAAGAAAUAUCUCGAUGUUAUCAGCAACAAAAACAUAAAGCUGUCAGAAAGAGUUCUGAUCCCUGUCAAACAAUAUCCUAAGUUCAAUUUUGUUGGGAAAUUGCUUGGACCAAGAGGGAACUCCUUGAAGAGGUUACAAGAAGAAACAGGAGCAAAAAUGUCCAUCCUCGGGAAAGGAUCCAUGAGGGAUAAAGCUAAGGAGGAAGAACUAAGGAAAAGUGGAGAAGCCAAAUACGCGCACUUGAGUGAUGAGCUUCACGUAUUAAUUGAAGUGUUUGCUCCACCUGGAGAGGCGUAUUCUCGUAUGAGUCAUGCCUUGGAAGAAAUAAAAAAAUUCCUCGUUCCUGACUAUAAUGAUGAAAUUCGCCAGGAACAGCUGAGAGAACUGUCAUAUUUGAAUGGUUCUGAGGAUUCAGCGCGUGGACGGGGCAUUCGAGGAAGAGGGAUUCGUGUGCCACCUGCAGCUCCUUCAAGGGGACGUGGGGGUGCAAUUCCUCCUCCCCCGCCUGGAAGAGGUGCCCAAGCACCCCGAGGAGCACCAGUGACCCGUGGAGCCCUCCCAGUCCCACCAGUGGCGAGAGGUGUCCCCACCCCUCGAGCAAGGGGCGCCCCAGCUGUCCCGGGCUACAGACCACCCCCGCCACCUGCACACGAGGCCUAUGAAGAAUAUGGAUAUGAUGAUGGAUAUGGAGGUGAAUAUGACGAACCAAGCUAUGAGGCAUAUGAUAACAGUUAUGCCACCCAAACACAAAGCAGUAUGAUUUUUAGGCUGAAAAUAGGGGCAAGGAGUCAUUUGCAGAAGAGACCAUGACAGAGUCUUGAGAUCAGACUGGAACCAAACCCACAAUAAAUCUGCAUGGCUGAAUGAACUCAGAGGCACCUCAAGAGCCCUUUAAAAUGUGCACAAUAAGCAACCUGAAGAAAGAGAACGUCAGGACCCUUGCUAUGCAGGAACUUCUAAGUCCAUUGAACCACCACCACUGUCCAGGAUUCAUAAACACAUGGAGAACACUAGAUCACCAGAAGAAAAAGAUGAAAAGUUUUGUAAGAGAAUCUGCAAGAUCUGCCUCUUUGGUUACUCAGAGGACUGAAGAAGAGAGAAAGGAAAGAUGCAGUAUCAGAGAAUUUCAAGUUGACUGGCACAGCUUUCAUCUAACUGGAUUAUCUUUAAUUCAAAAGAUACGAUUACCUGUGGUUUAUACCUAUAGCUAUGCUGUCAUAUGCAAAGUCACAUUGGGCUCCUGUUUCUCCAUGCUAGGAACAAAAAUAUAAUGAGAAAAACAAGUUUCAGGGCAUAUAUGCUGCCUGUGUUCACUUUCCUCUAUGGCAAAUAGUUGCCAUGACCAUAUCAAUGUAGUAGUAUUUCAGUAACUGUAUGUUCAUAGCAGCACCCAUCAAUUCAACCUGUAAUAGGCUCUCAGAUUCUGAUUCACAUUCUUGUAAUGACUCAGCCCAUUGAAAAUUUCAAGAGCAUAUUCAACCAUUGAGAAUGAAUGUACAGCAAGUUUCUGCCUUUGAAAUAAACUUUUUUUUCCCCUGGUUAUUCUUGUUUAUUCUUAAGUUCAUGCUGUCCACUGUACAGCUUGUGUUUACGGCUCCUUUUUCCGCAGUGUGGGUUCCUAGUACAGGGCAUUUAGGAAUCAUUUAUUUCUAAUCUUGAUACACAGGAAUAUAACAUGGACAACAGUUCAGCACAUGUCACUUAUGUGGCUGUGGUGGGUUGACCCUGGCUGGACACCAAGUGUCCACCAAAGCCACUUUAUCACUGCCCUCCUCAGCUGAACAGGGGAGUGAAAAUAUAAUGAAAGGCUCGUGGCUUGAGAUAAGGACAGGGAGAGAUCACUCAACAGUUAUUGUCAUGGACAAAAGAGACUUAACUUGGGGAAAUUAAUUUAUUACCAAACAAAUCAGAGUAGGAUAAUGAAAAAUAAAACCAAAACUUAAAAACACUUUCCCCCAACCCUCCCUUCUUCCCAGGCUUCUCUUUACUCCUGAUUUUUCUCUGCCUCUUCCCCUCUCCCAGCAGUGCAGGAAUGGGGGCUGUGGUCAGUCCAUCACAUGUUGUCUCUGUCACUCCUUCCUGCUCACACUCUUCCCACUAACUUUUCUAACCCAAGUCUUUCCCAUGGGGUUCCUGCUCCAGUGUGGGUCUCCCACAGAGUCACAGGUCCUGCCAAGAGCCUGCUCCAGAGCAGGCUUCCCACAGGGUCACAGCUUCCUUUGAUCAUCCCCCUGCCCUGGUGUGGGGUCCUCCACAGGCUGCAGGUGGAGAUCUGCUCCACCAUGGGACCUCUAUGGGCUGCAGGGGACAGCCUGCCUCACCAUGGUCUGCACCAUGGGCUACAGGGGAAUCUCUUCUCUGGCACCUGGAGCACCUCCUGCCCAUCCCUCUGCAUUGACCUUGGUGUCUGCAGAGCUGUUUCACAUAUUCUCAUUCUUCUCUUCUGGCUGCAAUUGCUAUUGCCAGGGGGGCUUUCCCCCUUCUUAAACAUGUUUUCCCAGAGACAAUACCACCAUCACUGAUGGGCUCAGCCUUCACCAGAGCAGGUUCAUCUUGGAGCUGACUGGCAUUGGCUCUAUUGGACAUGGGGCGAGCUUCUUGCAGCUUCCCACAGAAGCUACCCCUGUACCCCUUCUGCUACCAAAAUCUUGUCACACAAACCCAGUACACUGGAUUAUGGUAUAAUCAUUUCAGUGCAGAGACAUGCUGCAAAAUGAUUUAGGAAUAAAGCAAAGAAUGUUUUAUCCAGUUGAAUCUCCAGGCAUUAUUUACAUCAGCAGCCUCUAUUUGCCUGAGCUACAGUUCAUUUGGGCUACCCUUGUGUAACCUUCAGAUACCAAGACCUUGCAUCUACAUCUGUUUCCAAAGAUGAGGUCUUCACAGUGCUGUUAGAAAAGUAACGCUUUCAGAAUAAUAUGCUUAUGAAGACAACAGUACAUAGUUUUUUUUGGUUCUUUGAUGGACCCUACCUAGGGGACAAUUCUCUCCAAGCUCCUUUUGGAUUCAGCAAAAAGUCAUGGCCCUGUGUUUCAGUAACAGGAAAUUAGUAUUAAUAUUAGAAGGGAGUGAAGUAUGGUAACACAAGGCUAGGGUGCUUGAUAGUCUCUGUCACUAUAGCUUUUAAAACCACAUUAGACAUAUUUCAGUAAAGAUUCAUAUAAAAUUAUUUUGUGUGCUUGCACAUAGAUGUAAGGAUCUAGGUGACAUCUUAAGUCCCUUCUAGCUCUAUUUUCUAUUACCUUUUCCCUUUUUUUGUUCAUGCAUGACUAGGUUUACUUCAGGAUAACAACACAGCAUAAUCUAAUGAAGCUGUUUUGUUACAAAUAAAAAGACAGUAAUCCCAUUGUCAAACUCCAUUUUGAUUCAUGGGAUCUUUAUGACUGAUAGAAAUCCUUUUAUGAACAAUUAAAGUAAAUCUUAUAUUUCAAGGACUGAAAAAGUAAAUGUAUUCUUAUUGGAAUAGGAUACUGAUUUUCACACAUUUUUAUUCUGUGUUAAGUUAUAGUAAAUAGUUCUAGUCCAUUCCUUCAGGAUGAUCUCAUAAUAAAGAUAUUAGAUCUUUAUUUUUCAUGUAUAGCAUUUUCAUCUGCAUACACAAAUAAACACAAACAAACACAAACAAGACCAUAAUACAUCUCAUAGUACAAUACAGUGCAGCACUGGAUGAACUUUCUGGUUUGGAGUGUCUCCUUGUGCUGAAAAGGGGGAAAUUUCAUUGGGAAAAAAAAAAAAAAGCCAAACAACAUAGAUGCAAAAUUAUCAAGAGACUGAGGAGUUUCAAGUAUUGAUGUAGCCUUGUUACAACAGCUCCAAAGUACAUACAACAAUAGUGCAAAUUACAAUACAAAAUCUGUUUUGUAAGUCUUCUCACUGACAUAUGUAGUCAUGAGAAGAGUAAAUAAGUUUUCCAAGAUUAUGCCAUAAUGAACUGUUAUAAAACCUGAUACUGUGGAUGUAGGGGACAGAAAGCAGCAGCAUUCUGAUUGCUCAUAGCUUUUACUGAUGUGAUAGUUGUUUAGGAGCCCCCGGUUUAGAGCCAGCCUUUGUCCUUGUAAGUAAUGUAACAUCAUUAAUUUGUUAGCAUCACUGUAAAGUCUAGAAAUCCAAGUAGGUGAUCAGCACUUUACUACACUGCCGUUGUACAACUGAAAACCUUAUCCGUUGUUCAAAGGUCUUAGAGGCAAAAUAACUGAAAUGCUUCUACCUAUAUGACAGAAAUUACUGUUAUAUUCCAUCAUGUGCAGAACCUUUUUUGAUACUUUUUUUAAGAGUAAUUUCAUUUGAAGACUUCUGAAAAAUAUAAUUAGAACAGUUAAUUGAGAAAACCACUGCUGGUAGCAAAUGACUGUUGUACAGCAGGUAUGUUCUGGUCCCUGUUUCUGGAUUCAGGUCUUCAAAUGACAGCUAUUAGUUUCCUUACCUGCUGAUAGACAUUUGGGAAGAGGGAAGAAGCCUGGCAGACUUCUGGUAAGUCUGCCACUGUCUCUAGUGUAUUUGUACUUACCACUUGUAGUGUAGUUUAGUAUUCCCUGAGGUGCCCAGGUAUCUACCCUCACUCCAGUUGAAUCCCCAGCUAUAAUGCUGGGGGGGAUGUUCCAAGGAAAAGAUAUCAGAAGUGCUCAGUAAUAGUAAGUUCUUUGUCUAUUGAAUUGAAUACCAAGGAAAAAGGUAUUCAACAUUUCUGAACAGUCUUAAAGACAAAGACAUAUUCUCUUGCUUAAUGUCUUGCUGAGGAGCUUUAGUACAGAGCAUCUCUCAGAUUCACAUGUUCAGGUGCAUUCAGAAGGAAAACACUGAGAGAGGUCAGUGAUCUUGAAUGUGGAAUAAGUGGAAUAAAUUAUUAAAGCACUGAUCAGAUACCUUUAUUUAAUCAGUCAGUCCCACUGGUUUUGACUACUUGUGUUGUAGUUCCUUCAGACUAGUUAUGGAGAGAAUUGUCCAUAGUUCAAUGAAGUUCUAUUAUGUCCAUAGUUCUAUUUCGUCCUUAGUUUCAAAUCAUGGCUAGACAGGACUGUGAAUUUAUUUAGUAGAUUUUCACAUGGUUAAAUCUUUUGGUGAUACGAUCAGAGAUUUACUCAUUUCUCUCACUAUCAAAAUAUUACUAUAUAGUAAAAUAUAUAGACAUAUAAAUACAAUCCAAGCUGCAACAGGUAUAGUGGUUGCACUGGUUCCUAGUAAAAGGGAUACUCAUUUUUAUUUUCCUUAUGAUGCAUUCUCUCACUUUUUAACCAGUAUGCAUUGUAUUUAUACUUUGUCAUAUUUCAUUUUGGCUUUGUGCUUAUAUCUACCUGUUCAUAAAUAAAGAUUUCCUUGUAUUUUAUUUCCAACCUGUUGAAAUCAAUCAAGCCAGGAAGCCUAGAAUAUGACAUUUUAUGUAUCUUCACAGCAAUCCACUUAUCACAUUCGUCAUCAGAAACUGUUUUCAAAUGCCACUUCUCAUUUAUUUGAUUCAAUGAGCAAAAUGGAAUCAAAUUUCAUUACUUUGAAGUAGAAAAAAGUUUUCCUGUAAAACUAAAUAGGAUUCCUAAAAUUCUGCAUCAUUCUCUUUGCAAAUACUGUGUCUGCAGAAACUUCAUAUUAUAUUCUGAAAUACUGAGUCAUAGUUCUGUGUCUAUGAGAAAAGUACAGUGGCAUGGAGAAUAUUUGAACAGAAAUGUCCGUGUGUCUGUGGUUUUUGCAAAUAAAUGGCAGAUUGGUUUCUAUUUAAGAUUUUGCAAAAAGUUCAGAACCCAGAGCCAUGUUGCAACUGUGAUGUCUCGCCACUCCUUCGCUUAUAUAACUCUAUAGGCUUAACUUUUUUUAAUUUUAAUUCAGAUUUUUAGUAGUAUUAAAUCAAACAUAGAAAAAUGCUUGAGGAAGAUGAGAUCUAGUUUAACUUCAGGCAUGUCAUAAGCUACUGAGUAAAUCCAGGGAGUAUUUUAAUGGAGACAUUCUUCUCUGUUAAAAAUACUGUAUAUACUCAAACUUGAGCUUUCAGAAAAAGGGAGAUGUUAUUCACUAAACUGUUAACCAUAAUAUUCUAUUAGUUCUAAAGAUUUGUUUGGUAAGGAACUAUAUUUACAAAUUAAGUCUGAAUCCUACAAGAAGUUUCUUUAUUCAGAAGACUUCUAAUCUUUCCUAUGGAUAUAAUGCUCUGUUAAGUAGAGAUGUUUCAGUGUAACUUUCAGAUUCCUUGGAGGAUUAUUUCUUCAUUCACACAUUUCCAUUAUGAAAUAUUAUGAAAUAUUAUUUUAUAAAAAUUGCACAUAUUGCAAUUCAUGUGAAUGAAAAUCUAGGUCACCUGUCUUCCAAGAAUUGUAAUGCUUUGUGUAAAUACCUUUUGUUUCAUGCCCAGCUAUGUGUUAAAUCCUGCUAGCUCCUUCCCUUGUGUGGGAUGGAGAAGCAUAACAAAUGCAGUCUCACAUAAAUGCAGUAGCAUUAGACAGGAUCAUGUUAGCAUAGUAUUUGAUUGUAUCAACUGUUGAUGUUGAAAGUUGUAAACUUCAAGGAUUACUCAACAGAAAUGAUAUACAGAAAGAGAAAAAUAAGGGCAGAUAGGAGACCACGACCUUAAAUGACACAUUUAAAGAAGUGUAAAAGAAUGAGAUUUGCCUACUAAUGCUAAAUCCCACCUCUGGGGAUCCUUAUGAAUUAUCCUGCAUGUUAGUUCAGCUGAAGAAUCUGUUACCUGAAGCUAAACCAGACUGGAAUAUAUGUAUAAGGAGUGCUAAAGUUUCGUUUAUCUCUAUUUGUCUGACGUAACGAUGCUGACUGCAAGCAGCAGCAAAAGCCAUGAAUUCCUCUUCAAAGAGCACCAAUCCUAAAAUAUAAUAUUGAUUCACUCUCAUGUUGUUGAGUGUUGUUGACUGCCACUCUCAUGUUGUUGGAGCAAG